UCCUUUCUAGCUUAUAUUUUUAAAGCGUUGGUUUGAAGAGCCGAAGUAACAGUUUUGUGGUGGGAG
rnacentral:tRNA from 1 species